rnacentral:rRNA from 1 species
CGCAUCUGUGCAUGCAGCAUAUCAAUAAGCGGAGGAAAAGUAAUGCUUAUACCUACGCUUAGGAUGUUGACGCGCGUGUGUGCGUGGGUCUAUACAUGACUCUGCGCAUAUCAAUAAGCGGAGGAAAAGAAACUAACAAGGAUUCCCUUAGUAACGGCGAGUGAAGCGGGAAGAGCUCAAAUUUGAAAUCUUCAAGGUUUUACCUUGACGAAUUGUAGUUUAAAGAAGUGUUUUCUGUUGAAGUUUUGGUAAAAGUUCUUUGGAAUAGGACAUCAUAGAGGGUGAGAAUCCCGUAUUUGACCAUUAUUUUCAGCUGUGUGAUACACUUUCAAAGAGUCGGAUUGUUUGGGAAUGCAGUCCAAAAUGGGUGGUAAAUUUCAUCUAAAGCUAAAUAUUGGCGAGAGACCGAUAGCGAACAAGUACCGUGAGGGAAAGAUGAAAGGAACUUUGAAAAGAGAGUUAAACAGUACGUGAAAUUGUCAAAAGGGAAGCGUUUGACACCAGUGUUGUUUUCUCGAAAAUCAAUUAAAAAGAGUUUGAUUUUGUUGUGUAUUGACCUUAACAGCUUGCAUUUCAAUUUUCUUGCUUUUUUUAAUGCACUUUUCGUUUAACAAGUCAACAUCAGUUUCUUUUGUUGUAAAAAGGUCAUUGGAAGGUGGCUUUCUUUUCGGAGAAAGUGUUUAUAGCCUUUGACUCCUGCAAUCGGAGAGACUGAGGUCUGCAGCGUAGAUCCUUCGGGGUUAGAUACAUUUGUGCUAAGUUAUAGCUUUUUAUAGACAACUUGUUGACUAUGAUUAGUCUUGUAGCUUACUCGCUUAUGCUAUUUUACCUACGCUUAGGAUGUUGACGCGCGUGUGUGCGUG